CUCAGUUACCCCAAUUUGAUUACAUAAACUUACCAGUAUACUUUUAUUGUUAUAUUAAUUCACUAUAUUUAUUUACAUAAGAAAGUUAAAAAUGCAUCAAACUUAAGCUCCAUUGUCAUCUCCAAUCUAACCUGCUUCUCUCUUACUUUCUUUUCUUGGUUAAGGAACCCAUAAAACUUCAUCUACACAAAUCAGAAACAUGGAAGACAGCAUCAACUCUGCCCUUGACCUCAUCCCUGUUCCCUUAUCCAAUCAAAAAAGAACUUCUUAUAGCCCUCCUUUAAUCUAUGUUUCUACUACUCCAGUCUCUCUGAGGUUUCAUAUCUUCUAACUUGGACAGUACAGUAGCCUUCUUUUAUCCAACCUUCAAAAUCAUGCAGUUCUCCCCCCUAAAACACAAAUUUUACCUUGUUACUUUCAUUUAAGUUAUUUUACCAAGUCAUUUGCCUUUAAGAUAUCCACACCAUGCCAGGCACAGUGGCUCAUGCCUGUAAUCCCAGCACUUUGGGAGGCUGAGGCAGGCAGAUUACUUGAGGCCAGGAGUUUGAGACUAGCCUGGCCAACAUUGUGAAACUCUGUCUCUACAAAAAAUUAAAAAAUUACCUGGGCAUGGUGGCACACGUCUGUAGUCCCAGCUACUCAGGAGGCUGAGGCAAGAGAAUUACUUGAACCCAGGAGGCAGAUGUUGCAGUGAGCCGAGAUCAUGCCCCUGCUCUUCAGCCUGGGCCAUGUAGCAAGACCUUGUCUCAAACAACAACAGAUAACCACAGCAUAGAAUAUCCAAUGCAGCCUGUCUUUAAUGUCCUCUCAUACCAUGCUUUCCUAUAUACCUCAUGAUAUAACUACACUAACCUACUUUCUGUGAUCAGACCUACCAAACUCAGGUAUGCUUAGACUCGCUGCUUCUCCCUGGAAUGUUAAUUCUCUGCUUGGCAAACCCUUGUACCUUUGUUAAGACCUUGAUUAAAAGUUACCUCUCUGACGCCUUCUCCAUUCCAACAAGCAUUAGAAGCCUCCUCUUCAUUCCCCUGGGCAAUUUCACCUACUGCCUUCCUCUUUGGUGCCAUGUAUCACAUUAAUUUAUUUUUCUAAUUUUUUUCCAGAAUUUCAUUUUUCAUGUAUAUGUGGCAAUGUAUUUUAUUUUUAAACUUUUAAUUUUUAAUUGUUGUGGGUACAGAGUAGGUAUAUAUAUUCAGAGGAUACAUGAGAUGUUUUGAUACAGACAUCACAUAAUUUAUGACCAUCCAUUUAGAAGCCUGUUUUGCUUGCUCACAAAGCUUGGUUUUCUCAGGGCAGGGCUGUGUACACCUACAUAUCUACAUGUCCCUAGAAUAAUACCUCUAACACAGCCAGUAUGCGAUGAGUACAUGUUGAACAAAGACGUUAAUGGAUAAGUAAAUAGAACCUACAUGGCAUCAGUCCACAUUCGUUUUUUACUUUUCUAAGUUUUUUCCCCUCUGAAAUCUGUAAGUGUGCUUAAUCUCUGCCUCUGCUUUUUUGUUAUUGUUUCUGUUUAGAGGAGUCACAGAGGGAUCCUAGUGAAGAGGAUUAUAACUUUGCCUGUUUUGUGAUGCGGAGGUGAUGUCAUGUUGUUCUACCAUUUUAUCAUUGUUCCUUCUGAGCCUGAGUGUUCUUUCUCUUGAAGAUUCAAGUGAACCAGGGAAGGAGAAUGACAUCAGACUGGGCUUGUGCCUGAUAAUUCAUUUCUGAAGUGCUUCAAGAUUGACGCAUCAGAUUUGCACAAUGUGCCACUUUAGGAGAUUAUUUCUUCCUUCCUUCAGCCAGACAGAAGACUGCAGUAGGUAAUGAUAGCUUAAACUUGGGAAAUGUCCUUCUUCAGAGACAGCGUCACGGACAUUUUGGAGAGGAUCAGAUUACUCUACAGCUGCUUUCCCUGGUGGACCUGAGGAGGCACACCCCUGAGCCAGGACUUUAAGGGAGAGGGUAGAACAACCUAGAAGCUCAGAAGGUCACUCCAACUAUUAUCUUCCCUUCUGUGACUUAUUGACAUACACUUUGAUAUCAAGGCACUGAUGCUGAUAACGUGAGAGAAAGGAAUAGAUUAAUUAUGGGAUGAGGAGUAUUUUAAAUGCUAAAGGCUUUGUCUAAAAUAAUUCACAUUUUUCCAUCCAGUGGUUCCUCUCUUUGAAUCCUGUUAGAAUGACAGUAGAUCUUUUAAUUCUUUCCCCACUUUAGGCAUGACUUUGAAGAACCUGAAGAUGUGAAAAUGAAAUGGAUACUGUGCUCCUUUUGGCUAGGAUUGGGGAGGGCCCACUAACUGAUCUCUACUACCCAGCCCCUUUCAACAUCAAAGCUACUUUUUUUUUUUUUUUGAGACAAAGUCUGGCCCUGUCGCCAGGCUGGAGUGCAGUGGUGCAGUCUCAGCUCACUGCAACCUCUGCCUCCUGGAUUCAAGGGAUUCCCCUGCCUCAGCCUCCCGAGCAGCUGGGACUACAGGUGCAUGCCACCAUGCCUGGCUAAUUUUUUGUAUUUUAGUAGAGACGGGAUUUCACUUUGUUGGCCAGGAUGGUCUCAAUCCAAAGCUACUUUUAGCAGGAUUGAACUCUGAGGUCAUCCAGUGGCCAGUUGUGAUGCUGUCACUUUUAAAACUGGAAUGAGUUACUGUUCGGAUGGUGGCUUUGGUCUGAGGCCUGUGAUUCCUGUUUUGCCAUUUCUUGGCUGUGUGUUUGAGGACCUCUUAAUCCCUAGCCUCCUCAUUUGUAAAAUAAUCCUUCCCAUGGACCUUGUGCAUUUCAUGGAAAUGCAGUAGUAUGGGGUCUGGAAGAUUCUUUGUAGGCAUUCUACCUUUCCCUAUGUGUUCCAAGUGACCCUCAUCUGGUGCAUUCUUCAUUUGAUUAAAGCAAGGAAGGAAGCUUUAGCAGAGGGCUGUUAUCUCUUGAUUGGCCGCUGCCAUCCCCUGACCCACCGUCUUCCCUUUUAUGCACAGUGAUGGCAGAGACAGCAACAGACAGCUUGCCCAAACACACUAAGCUGAAUUAAAGCACCACCCAAGUAGAGGUCUAUUCUAUUAAGAAGGGAUCAUCCAGAAAUUGAGGUCACUAUAACACAAGGGAAAGAUUCAAGGAUCCCAAAGUGUCUGCUAGGAAGUGGCCAAUGAGGGCUUCAAAGAGUGUUUAAGUUUUAGUCCAUCCCCAAAUACAGUUCUUCCUUGGACAAAAACAUCUCAGCCAUGCUCUGGCUGAAUUGGGAGGUGACAGCUGCCUAGCUUUGCGCUUCCUACCUGAUAUGUUAACUCACGCACCAUUAUACUGUGGUUGGGAAGUAUGGUGGAUGGUAGAUGGAAGACGAGAAUGGGAGUGAGAUAUUUACACAGUUCUGAAUUUUGGGGGUGAGGGCUGUGCAUUCUUCCUGUCAAAGUUGUAUUAAUAUCAGUAGCAUAAUAAUGAUUAAAAGCAUACUCUUUGGAGUUAGACUUCCUGGCUUAGAAUUGUGACUAUACUAGUUAAUCAGUUGUCUCUUUUGGCAAAUUAUUUGACUUUUUUCAUAUCAGUUUUCCAAGCUGUAAAAUGAAAAUAGUAAUAGUAUUUAACUCAUUGUUUUAAGUUAAAUGAAAUAAUACGUAUGAAGUGCUUAGAAUAAUCUCUGACAAAUAGUGUCCACUCACGAAAUGCUGUUUGUUCUAGCUGCUGUAGUAGCAUAUCUCUCGUAUCCUUGGGCAAGAGACUUUGGCUUUUGAAUUUACUUAUCUAAGAUCCUCUAAGACAGCUCUGAUACAAUUUCUUCCCAGCCAGCAUUCCUGCAAUCCCAAAGACCCCCCCUUUUCCAUAUUUUUUUUUGUCCUUGGAGACUUCUAAGGUUUAAAGUUAUAUGUAUGUUCUUUCCUUAGCAAUCAAUACCCAUUACAUAUGUCUCACAAUUACAACUUUUCCUGGAGACAGAUGUUAAUGGAUUCUGUCCAGCCCACUAGACCCUCACUUCCCUAUACAUCAGCUCUUGAGUUUCCUAAAAGCCUGAACUUCAAUUAGAAAGUGAUCAGGAAGCUUCUCAAAAAGCCUAGGAAUCUAAUCAAUAUUUCUCACACAAUGGUGAUGAUUAGUAGAGGACAUCAGUUGUCAUCAACAGUCCACCACAAUGUCAGAUAAGUAACACAGGAUGCAGGCUUCUGACAUUCACCAUCCAUUAUACAUCCCCUGGGAGGUGGGAGCACUUCAGGUUUCCAUGGCAGCAGUCGGCCAAGCUAAUUUGAUGGCCUUCAAAAAAAAAAGGAACAGAUAAUAUAUAAUUAAACAACAACAAAAACUAGACACCCACUCGCAGUAGUUUUAAGGACCCU
rnacentral:lncRNA from 1 species